rnacentral:rRNA from 1 species
ACUAUAGUUUAUUUGGAAUAAAGCUCACGAAGUGGUUUGAGCUAGAUAUAAUUGUAAUAUGGGUAUUUUGUUAUGAUGUGGCAAAAUUAUAUCAAAAGUUAUAUGUAGGGGUGAAAGGCUUGUCAAAAACCAAGAUAUCUUGAUUUCAAUGAAAGGUAUUUAGUACAAUAUUAUACAUUUAUUAAGUGGUGAGGCUUAGUAAAGAUAUAAAGAUAUUUUUAUAUGGUAUAUUAAUUUAUAAUAAAAAAAUAUAUUAUUAUAAUAUUAUUCCACUUUUAUUGCUUAUAGAGAUUAAUUGGAUAUAGUUUAACUUUAUAUAUUUAAUAAAUAAUGUUAGUAUUAGUAUAUUCUACUGGUUCUAUGUAAGGAACUCGGCAAAAUUGUUUCUCAACUGUUUAUCAAAAACAUAACUGUGUGUGCCUAUACAUAGCGUUUUCUGCUCAAUGAUUUUAUUAAAUAGCCCGCAGUAUACUGACUGUGCAAAGGUAGCAUAAUCAAUUGACUUAUAAUUGAAGUCUAGAAUGAAGGAAAGUAUGGGAAGCAACUGUCUUAUGCAGAUUAAUAAAAAUUGUUUAUGAAGUGAAAAUCCUUCUUUCUAAAUAAUAGACGAGAAGACCCUUGAAAUUUUUAUAAUAUUAGAGUAUUAUGUCUAGUAAUUUUUCGCUGGGGCGGCGGAGUAGCAUUUUAACCUACUUAUACAAACCUGCGCCUUGUAUGGUAAUUGACUAAAUUACUCUAGGGAUAACAGCAUAAUAUUAAAAAGUUUGUGACCUCGAUGUUGGACUAGGACAUAAUAACCUAAAAGGUUUUUUAUAUUGCUCUGUUCGAGCAUUAGCUCCUACAUGAUCU